UACGAGAGGCCCAAACGUUAUUCGGAAUUACUGGGCUUAAAGAGUUCGUAGGCGGCAUGAAAAGCAGGGUGUGAAAGCCCUCGGCUCAACCGAGGAAUUGCGCUCUGAACUGUCGUGCUCGAGGAAUCUAGAGGUGAGCGGAACUGAUGGUGGAGCGGUGAAAUGCGUUGAUAUCAUCAGGAACACCGGAGGCGAAGGCGGCUCACUGGGGAUUUUCUGACGCUGAGGAACGAAAGCCAGGGGAGCGAACGGG
rnacentral:rRNA from 1 species